CUUUCGGGCAGCCGCAUCUUUCUCCCCAGGAUCUCACAGCUUUGGAUGUUACCAAAUUGACGCCACGUUCACAGGAAGUUCUCAGCAGACAAGCCACCAUAAAUAUCGACAGUUAAUAUCAAUACGAUUGCUCAUGUAGCUCCUGGGAAAUCCACAGUUGUAAAGCUGUUUCUGGGGUU